UUUUUGACCCUUUUCUGGCCUGGUAACUAGUUUAAGCCUGUCCCCUGUCUGGAGUUUUUCUGCCCUGGUUUUUCCUCCUCCGUUUCCAUUUGAAGAGGCGUGACGUUUCCAGAUCCCUCAUCUCAACACGGAGUAAAGCUGCCCCAACACUGGUCUUCACCCUCCGGUGGAUUCUCAUCCUGUACACAGCAGCAGUGGGGGAAUCUUCCAUCAUUCCUGACACCAUCCGCCCUGUACUCGGACGCUUUAAAGGCUCUUCUCUCACGUCUGCUUCUGGAGUUCUAAGCUCACCUGUGCAUCUGGCGGCCCACUGAUUAAUUCUACCUCCCUAAUAAACACUUUAAUUGUGA